rnacentral:rRNA from 1 species
AACGCGAAGAACCUUACCAGGUCUUGACAUCCAACUAACGAAGUAGAGAUACAUUAGGUGCCCUUCGGGGAAAGUUGAGACAGGUGGUGCAUGGUUGUCGUCAGCUCGUGUCGUGAGAUGUUGGGUUAAGUCCCGCAACGAGCGCAACCCUUGCUAUUAGUUGCUACGCAAGAGCACUCUAAUAGGACUGCCGUUGACAAAACGGAGGAAGGUGGGGACGACGUCAAAUCAUCAUGCCCCUUAUGACCUGGGCUACACACGUACUACAAUGGACGUCAACAGAGGGAAGCAAAACAGCGAUGUGGAGCAAACCCCUAAAAACGUUCUCAGUUCAGAUUGCAGGCUGCAACCCGCCUGCAUGAAGUCGGAAUUGCUAGUAAUCGCGGAUCAGCAUGCCGCGGUGAAUACGUUCCCGGGUCUUGUACACACGC